rnacentral:rRNA from 1 species
AGUGAACGCUGGCGGUAGGCCUAACACAUGCAAGUCGAACGGCAGCACAAUAAGAGCUUGCUCUUACGGGUGGCGAGUGGCGGACGGGUGAGGAAUACAUCGGAAUCUACUUUUUCGUGGGGGAUAACGUAGGGAAACUUACGCUAAUACCGCAUACGACCUACGGGUGAAAGCAGGGGAUCUUCGGACCUUGCGCGAUUGAAUGAGCCGAUGUCGGAUUAGCUAGUUGGCGGGGUAAAGGCCCACCAAGGCGACGAUCUGUAGCUGGUCUGAGAGGAUGAUCAGCCACACUGGAACUGAGACACGGUCCAGACUCCUACGGGAGGCAGCAGUGGGGAAUAUUGGACAAUGGGCGCAAGCCUGAUCCAGCCAUACCGCGUGGGUGAAGAAGGCCUUCGGGUUGUAAAGCCCUUUUGUUGGGAAAGAAAAGCAGCAGGUUAAUACCCCGCUGUUCUGACGGUACCCAAAGAAUAAGCACCGGCUAACUUCGUG